GCCCUAGUAGCUUAAAACUAAAGCAUCGGCCUUGUAAGCCGAAAAUUGAAGGUUAAAUCCCCUCCUAAGGCUG
rnacentral:tRNA from 1 species